AGGUGAAAUGCAAGAUGUUACAUACUCUGUAAUUCAGCUUAAACAUGUUGGAAAAAAGAGGAAGCAUCAUAAAUCACAGGAGCAUACUAUUUACUCAGAGGUGAAGGUGGGAGUUGAAGAAGACAUUCCAACAUAUGC